rnacentral:tRNA from 1 species
AUUAAGGUGGCAGAGUUGGUAAUUGCGUAAAACUUAAACCUUUACACCCAGAGGUUCAAAUCCUCUCCUUAAUA